UGCGUAAUAGCUCACUGGUCGAGUGGUUCUGCGCCGACAAUGUAGUGGGGCUCAAGUACACCGCCGAAGCCGCGGCAUAGUUUUUACUAUGGGUAGGGGAGCGUCGUGCAUGGGGUGAAGCCAUACUGUAAGGGGUGGUGGACUGUGUGCGAGUGAGAAUGCAGGCAUGAGUAACGAGAGAUACGUGAGAAUCGUAUCCGCU
rnacentral:rRNA from 1 species